AGCAGCCGCGGUAAUUCCAGCUCCAAUAGCGUAUAUUAAAGUUGUUGCAGUUAAAAAGCUCGUAGUUGAAUUUCGGGAUCAAAUUGUUGGUCGUGCCUCGGUACGCACUGGUAUUAUUGGUUCCUACCUUCUGAAGAACCGCGAUGUCAUUAAUUUGGUGUCGUGGGGAAUCAGGACUGUUACUUUGAAAAAAUUGAGUGUUUAAAGCAGGCUCGCGCUUGAAUACAUUAGCAUGGAAUAACGAAAUAGGACGUUUGACCCUAUUUUGUGGUUUCUAGGAUCGACGUAAUGAUUAAUAGGGAUAGUUGGGGGCAUUAGUAUUCAAUUGUCAGAGGUGAAAUUCUUGGAUUUAUU
rnacentral:rRNA from 1 species